rnacentral:vault_RNA from 1 species
UGACCGGCUAUAGCCCAGCGGUUACUUCAGCUGCAUUGUGUCCUGCCUUCAUGGCGCCCCGACAGGGGAUCGAACCCGCGGGCACCCCUGGCCCUUUU